rnacentral:rRNA from 1 species
GACGAACGCUGGCGGCGCGCUUAACACAUGCAAGUCGAACGGAAAGGCCUGCUUUCCCUUGUGGAUUGCGGGUACUCGAGUGGCGAACGGGUGAGUAACACGUGAGUGAUCUGCCCCCAACUUGGGUAUAAGCCUGGGAAACUGGGUCUAAUUCCCGAUAGGACUGCAGGGUGGUGCCUGUGGUGGAAAACGAUUUUCUAGUGGUUGGGGAUGAGCUCGCGGCCUAUCAGCUUGUUGGUGGGGUAAUGGCCUACCAAGGCGGCGACGGGUAGCCGGCCUGAGAGGGUGGACGGCCACAUUGGGACUGAGAUACGGCCCAGACUCCUACGGGAGGCAGCAGUGGGGAAUAUUGCACAAUGGGCGGAAGCCUGAUGCAGCGACGCCGCGUGGGGGAUGACGGCCUUCGGGUUGUAAACUCCUUUCGACCGCGAGGAAGCCACCUGGUUGGAAGGGUGGUGACGGUAGUGGUAGGAGAAGCACCGGCUAACUACGUG